ACGGAGGGUGCGAGCGUUAAUCGGAAUUACUGGGCGUAAAGCGCGCGUAGGCGGUUUGUUAAGUCGGAUGUGAAAUCCCCGGGCUCAACCUGGGAACUGCACCCGAUACUGAUCGACUUGAGUGCGAGAGAGGGAGGUAGAAUUCCAUGUGUAGCGGUGAAAUGCGUAGAUAUAUGGAGGAAUACCGGUGGCGAAGGCGGCCUCCUGGCUCGACACUGACGCUGAGGUGCGAAAGCGUGGGUAGCAAACAGG
rnacentral:rRNA from 1 species